CGCUAGGAAGCUAAACCGGACCCCAGCGUCAGCCUUUUAAGCUGAAGAAUGGUGCCUUCCAACCACCCCUAACGA
rnacentral:tRNA from 1 species